rnacentral:tRNA from 1 species
GGGAUUGUGGCUUAAUGGUAGAGUGCUUGCCUGGUAUGCAAGUGCUUGCCUGGUUCGAUUUCUUAGUACCA